CGCGUAGGUGGUAGUGAAAGUCUAUGGUGGAAUCUUAGGGCUUAACCCUAAAACUGCCUUGGAAACUUCAUUACUUGAGUCAGUGAGGGGAGGGUAGAAUUCCUGGUGUAGCGGUGAAAUGCGUAGAUAUCAGGAGGAAGGCCGGUGGCGAAGGCGGCCCUCUGGCGCUGAACUGACGCUGGGGCGCGAAAGCGUGGGUAGCAAACAGGAUUAGAUACCCUGGUAGUCCACGCCCUAAACGGUGGGUACUAGGUGUAGGGCUCGUAAGGGUUCUGUGCCGAAGGGAAACCAUUAAGUACCCCGCCUGGGGAGUACGGCCGCAAGGUUGAA
rnacentral:rRNA from 1 species